GACGUAGGGGGCGAGCGUUGUCCGGAUUUAUUGGGCGUAAAGCGUGCGUAGGCGGCUGCGCAAGUCGGUUGUGAAACCCCGGGGCUCAACCCCGGAACUGCAUCCGAUACUGCGUGGCUAGAGGUAGGUAGGGGAGAUCGGAAUUCCUGGUGUAGCGGUGAAAUGCGCAGAUAUCAGGAGGAACACCGGUGGCGAAGGCGGAUCUCUGGGCCUUACCUGACGCUCAGGCACGAAAGCGUGGGGAGCAAACAGG
rnacentral:rRNA from 1 species